GGAGAAACUGUUCCUUCAGACAUAGUUCUCUGUAUAAUGCAAUAUUUUCACAGAGUUGAAGAGGUGCUUGAAGACUAGAAAGGACCAGUGCAUCUUCUGGCCAUCAGCGUACUAGAUAAACAUCUUCAACAAUGUGCUGUAAGCGCUGCAAAAAGGAACCCUAUAAAGACGGUGCAUUUUGUAGGAUGUGUCGUACAUGUGGACCAUGCUUGCAUUUCUGUCAGUGUGGCAAAAAUCUACAACAGAAUGGUGUAAUGACUCACUAUCGUCAGAACUACGUCUAUGAACAGAAGUCAGUAGUACAUAUUGAAAAAACUACAUCCAUCAAGACAUCAACUUUUAAUCAUCUGAAUUAAACCAAAUGGACAAAACUGUCUGGGGUGCUAAUACUUUGCACACUAUAUAUUUUUCUGUACUUUAAUUUGCAACUUUUAAAUUCUCAAACAAAGUUAUUACUUUCAUUUUAUGUUCCUGUGAGGGCUGAUAUGGUUGUGUUUUAGUCAAUAACUUUGUUUCUAUGUUAAUCAGUAAAAUCUGAUGACAGUGAUGAAUAAUGUGUUUUGUACAGAAUCUUCAGAAAUGUGUUCUGAUUUAAAUAAAUACUUGUUUUAGCAGAUUUGUUGUCUGACAAACAUCUAGAAAGAACAACACAUCAGAUAUAAGAGAAACCAUGAGAAAACAGAAUUAGCCUUUGGGUAAUUCAUAAAUUAAAGUUGAUUUCACAGUUAAAGACUGGAGCUCUGAAGAACCAAGGCAGCCUUUGUAAUAAUUUUUCAAAUAAUAAUUCAAUUUUAUAUAAAUUAUAUUGUUUUCAUAUACUUUUAAAAUAUGAAACCAUUUGUACUUUAAAAUUAUAUUCAUAGUAGGAUAUACCCAUUAAAACACAUUUUUUAUCUAAUGCUCACAUCUUAGUCAAAUCUGAACUAGAGAUCUAGAGUAGCAUUUUGUUCAGUGCAUUUGAAAAACUGAGAAAAACAUCAACAAAUACCUUGUGAAUUUAUAAGGCUUUCGUAAUGGGAUUAUCACAGAUUCAUAGUCAAAUGAUACAAAUGAACAACAGAUUUUGCACAAAUUCAGGUUUAGGACAUAUUUAAGGUGUUAGUAUAAGAUUUAAUUUAAUGAUGCCCUUAAUGUCCUGAAAUGGGUAUAAAACAUUUAAAGCAUAUUGAAUGGCCCUCUGCUUAUAAAUUAAAAUGUUGUAAGGGAACCAAAUAUUUAUAAAAA